AAUGCUCAGUAACACGUGGGUAACCUGCCCUAUGCUGGGGAAUAACCUCGGGAAACUGAGAAUAAUGCCCCAUAGCCCACUACGCCUGGAACGGUGAGUGGGUCAAAGCUCCGGCGGCAUAGGAUGGGCCUGCGCCGUAUCAGGUUGUAGGGGGUGUAAAGUACCCUCUAGCCAUCAACGCGUACGGGUGUUGGGAGACAUUGCCCGGAGAUGGAUUCUGAGACACGAAUCCAGACCCUACGGGGUGCAGCAGGCGCGAAAACUUGGCAAUGCGAGCAAUCGUGACCAGGGAACUCCAAGUGCGUAGGGUAAGACCUACGCUUUUCUUGACUCUUCAAAGGUCUUGGAAUAAGGGGUGGGUAAGGACGGUGCCAGCCGCCGCGGUAAUACCGGCGCCUCAAGUGGUAGUCGCUUUUAUUGGGCCUAAAACGUCCGUAGCCGGUCUGGUGCAUUCGUGGGUAAAUCAACCCGCUCAACGGGUUGAAUUCUGCGAGCACGGCCAGACUUGGGACCGGGAGAGGUGUGGGGUACUCUCAGGGUAGGGGUAAAAUCCUGUCAUCCUGAGAGGACCACCUGUUGCGAAGGCGCCACACUAGAACGGAUCCGACGGUCAGGGACGAAACCUAGGGGCACGAACCGGAUUAGAUACCCGGGUAGUCCUAGGUGUAAACGCUGUGAACUUGGUGUCGGGGAUCCGCAAUGGGUCCUCGGUGCCGGAGUGAAGAUGUUAAGUUCACUGCCUGGGGAGUACGGUCGCAAGGCUGAAACUUAAAGGAAUUGGCGGGGGAGCAC
rnacentral:rRNA from 1 species